rnacentral:rRNA from 1 species
GAUGAACGCUGACAGAAUGCUUAACACAUGCAAGUCUACUUGAAUUUGGGUUUUUAACUUAGAUUUUGGGUGGCGGACGGGUGAGUAACGCGUAAAGAACUUGCCUCACAGCUAGGGACAACAUUUAGAAAUGAAUGCUAAUACCUAAUAUUAUGAUAAUAGGGCAUCCUAUAAUUAUGAAAGCUAUAUGCGCUGUGAGAGAGCUUUGCGUCCCAUUAGCUAGUUGGAGAGGUAACGGCUCACCAAGGCGAUGAUGGGUAGCCGGCCUGAGAGGGUGAUCGGCCACAAGGGGACUGAGACACGGCCCUUACUCCUACGGGAGGCAGCAGUGGGGAAUAUUGGACAAUGGACCGAGAGUCUGAUCCAGCAAUUCUGUGUGCACGAUGAAGUUUUUCGGAAUGUAAAGUGCUUUCAGUUGGGAAGAAAGAAAUGACGGUACCAACAGAAGAAGUGACGGCUAAAUACGUGCCAGCAGCCGCGGUAAUACGUAUGUCACGAGCGUUAUCCGGAUUUAUUGGGCGUAAAGCGCGUCUAGGUGGUUAUAUAAGUCUGAUGUGAAAAUGCAGGGCUCAACUCUGUAUUGCGUUGGAAACUGUAUAACUAGAGUACUGGAGAGGUAAGCGGAACUAUAAGUGUAGAGGUGAAAUUCGUAGAUAUUUGUAGGAAUGCCGAUGGGGAAGCCAGCUUACUGGACAGAUACUGACGCUGAAGCGCGAAAGCGUGGGUAGCAAACAGG